CCCGAUCUACGUUACCCACCCUUGCUCGAGUUAGAUAUGAGUUACCCACACUCAAACGAAAUCGUUUUUGUGGUGCCGAAUCAACCGAAGAAUUAGGAACAUUGAGCGUGGACUUUGUAGGUAACAGGGUUACUCUUUGGAAUGGUGGUGGCGAGGAGGAGGCUUGAUUGGAAAGACCAUUAGCUAUGCUGCGUGU